rnacentral:rRNA from 1 species
UGAAGAAGACUCCUCGGUUAAUACCCGUGGACGAUGACAUUAGCUGCAGAAUAAGCACCGGCUAACUCUGUGCCAGCAGCCGCGGUAAUACAGAGGGUGCAAGCGUUAAUCGGAAUUACUGGGCGUAAAGCGAGCGUAGGUGGCUUGAUAAGUCAGAUGUGAAAUCCCCGGGCUUAACCUGGGAACUGCAUCUGAAACUGUUAGGCUAGAGUAGGUGAGAGGAAGGUAGAAUUCCAGGUGUAGCGGUGAAAUGCGUAGAGAUCUGGAGGAAUACCGAUGGCGAAGGCAGCCUUCUGGCAUCAUACUGACACUGAGGCUCGAAAGCGUGGGUAGCAAACAGGAUUAGAUACCCUGGUAGUCCACGCCGUAAACGAUGUCUACUAGUCGCUGGGUCCCUUGAGGACUUAGUGACGCAGCUAACGCAAUAAGUAGACCGCCUGGGGAGUACGGCCGCAAGGUUAAAACUCAAAUGAAUUGACGGGGGCCCGCACAAGCGGUGGAGCAUGUGGUUUAAUUCGAUGCAACGCGAAGAACCUUACCUGGUCUUGACAUAUCUAGAAUCCUGCAGAGAUGCGGGAGUGCCUUCGGGAAUUAGAAUACAGGUGCUGCAUGGCUGUCGUCAGCUCGUGUCGUGAGAUGUUGGGUUAAGUCCCGCAACGAGCGCAACCCUUGUCCUUAGUUACCAGCGGGUUAAGCCGGGAACUCUAAGGAUACUGCCAGUGACGAACUGGAGGAAGGCGGGGACGACGUCAAGUCAUCAUGGCCCUUACGACCAGGGCUACACACGUGCUACAAUGGUAGGUACAGAGGGCAGCUACACAGCGAUGUGAUGCGAAUCUCAAAAAGCCUAUCGUAGUCCAGAUUGGAGUCUGCAACUCGACUCCAUGAAGUAGGAAUCGCUAGUAAUCGCGGAUCAGAAUGCCGCGGUGAAUACGUUCCCGGGCCUUGCACACACCGCCCGU